ensembl:lncRNA
UGGGGGGGGGGGGGUUGGAGUAUGUUGCCCUUUGUGCAAAUAUUUCAUGUGUUAAACUGCUGACUGUUUACGUGGAUCUGAUGAAGAUGACCUUAGCUUAGUAGUGUCUUAAAUAAGUUCUGCUAGUUCGUUUCGUCGAACUGUUUUGAGACGGUCCCUAACUGCAGCUUUCAAGUUUCCUGGCGCUACAUCAGCCAAACUUUCCUCGGUGAUCUAACGUGAAAUCCUCGACGACCAUAGUACCUUAUUAAACCAAGGCAGGCUACACAGCUGUGUUUGGAGCCUUACUAAUCUAGUUUUGCUACUUUAGUUGUUUUGUAGCUACAUAACACAGUCACCUGGAAAACCAAUACUACAUAAGAACUUUAGACAUCUGGGAUUCAAACAUUGUGACAGAGUGAUUUUCAGUAACUGCAGCAAGAGCCAGAGAGCUGAUGAGACCGCUCAGACGACGCCUGUGAUGUCCACCUGCUGUGAGAGACAAUAACCAGAUGUGAAGAGGAGAGUUUGACACAUGCAAGUCUGCUCAUUGUGGCUAAUUACCAGGCUGAAGCAUCUUUCUGUCAGCCACAGAGCCACACAGAAAGGGUGCUACAGUACACGCUGCUUUUUCCCCCCCC